rnacentral:rRNA from 1 species
GACAGAGGGUGCAAGCGUUGUUCGGAAUCAUUGGGCGUAAAGCGCACGUAGGCGGCCUUGUAAGUCAGAUGUGAAAGCCCUGGGCUCAACCCAGGAAGUGCAUCUGAUACUGCAAGACUUGAGUCCCGGAGAGGGUGGUGGAAUUCCUGGUGUAGAGGUGAAAUUCGUAGAUAUCAGGAAGAACACCAGUGGCGAAGGCGGCUACCUGGACCAGCACUGACACUGAGGCACGAAAGCGUGGGGAGCAAACAGG